rnacentral:rRNA from 1 species
AUUGAACGCUGGCGGAAUGCUUUACACAUGCAAGUCGAACGGCAGCACGGGGGCAGCCCUGGUGGCGAGUGGCGAACGGGUGAGUAAUACAUCGGAACGUGCCCGGUCGUGGGGGAUAACGUAUCGAAAGUUACGCUAAUACCGCAUACGAUCUGAGGAUGAAAGCGGGGGACCUUCGGGCCUCGCGCGAUCGGAGCGGCCGAUGUCCGAUUAGGUAGUUGGUGGGGUAAAGGCCUACCAAGCCGACGAUCUGUAGCUGGUCUGAGAGGACGACCAGCCACACUGGAACUGAGACACGGGCCAGACUCCUACGGGAGGCAGCAGUGGGGAAUUUUGGACAAUGGGCGCAAGCCUGAUCCAGCCAUUCCGCGUGCAGGACGAAGGCCUUCGGGUUGUAAACUGCUUUUGUACGGAACGAAAAGGCUCUGGCUAAUACCUGGGGCUCAUGACGGUACCGUAAGAAUAAGCACCGGCUAACUACGUG